ensembl:lncRNA
CGCAGAUGGAUGAGUUUACGGAUCACGAAGUUUCGAGUGUAAAUAAGAGAAUUAACAGCAGCGAAAGAGUCACUGCAAGGAAAAUAAAAAGGAAACAACGCAAACGUCAGUGCAAGAGCAAAGAGCUACCUCCCAAAAUGCUAUCUGUUUUCAAUCAACUGGAAAAAGAACUGGUUGCACUCUAUCUGAGAGAUUUCCCUCAAACCCAGAAGCGCGUGCAGAGAGUGUGUCUUAUCAUCGGGACAUUUGAAGAAGAUUUCAGACGUGCUACUGGAGUCAUUACACACGCAUUAAAUGCAGAAGUGGCUGGAGGGUUGAUGAUGGGUUUGGGGUUAGUUUUAGCUCCAGUUCAUCAGGGCAUUUCUGCUCUUAUCGCAGGAGCGGGAGCAGCUGUGGUUUCAGGCGCUGCACUCUGUGAUACAAUCUGGAACAAGAAGAUCGUGAGCCUGCAGGCAAAAAUAAUACAAGACACUGAAGCUGAACUGAGCGAAUUUCAGCAUAAAAUCAGCCCUAUGCUGGACAAGAUGAAUGAGAUCAGUCAGCAUGUUAAUGAAAUAUUGAGAGACCUCAGUUACCCAGAGCGUGAUGUUGGGUAUUUAAGUCAAUAUUUUUCAUCUGCCAGUGAAUUAGUGCGUUUCAUACAGAUAUAUGACAUUAGUGUGUUGGCUGCGCAGAUAAAGUCUCAGACAUCAUGUUUGCUCGGAGCUCGAUUUAUCAGAGUUAUGCCAGCUAGAAUGGCACUCCAGCAGAUGUGGAUAGAAAUCGUUCAGUUAGAGAAUGUCAUGGAUGAAAUUACUAAAACAAUAGAAAGAAUAGCAAAUCAGCCCGACUAAAUAUAACAAUAUGAAGGGCUAAACAAAGCAAGAAAGCUCUUUGACUUGACUUGCUCUGACUAUUCCUGGGAUAUAGAAACUAUAGAAUUUAAUGUCUGUUUGUUGGUAUACAUUUACAUGUAAGAUUACAAACACUUUUUUUUUUUUUUUGUCAGCUGUUGAAGUUUUGGUUCCUUGCCGCUAUCGUCUUUGGCUUGAGUAGUUGGGGACACUAGAUAUUCAAUAAUGUUGUUUUGAUAUGCCCGCAUUGACACCAAUUGUAUGCGAACUUAACUGAGCUGGACCAUGACAUCACUGUCUUCUCCAGUGCUGAUAUAUAGAUAAAUAACUAUUGAUUUCUACAACGGAAUGAAUCAAUACUGAAUUUAUUUAAGCUGGACAAUGACACAAUUUUCUUCUAGAGCUGUUGUGCAGUUAUCACUGUAAAGCUGCUUUGACAAUCUGCAUCGCUGUAAUAAAGGUGACUUGACAUUAUGCAAAACAUACACAAGAGCUUCGAUCAGGACUGCAACAAGGUUUGUCUUCUGUAAUGCUGUGAAGAUGUUUUGUUCAUUGUGCAGUUUGUGUUAGUAAUUUGUGCAGGUCAUUUAUUCGAGGCGAUGCAGCGAAAUAAAAACCCUCAAAACGAAACCGAAACUACACACACGGGGCGAAAACAACAAAUUUAUAAUUCGUUUUUGAGAUGAGAUAGGCCCUCAUUAAAAAAGACAUACAGCAACUUGACUUAUUAUUUGUACCCUGCCACUGAUCUUAAAGAUUCGAUAAGUCAGAAGAAAAAUACAAAAUCUGUCUCUGGACAAGUUCAAAAGAGACACUUUUUUUUUUUCCUAAAGGGAAACUGUCACUGAUCUGAUGAAACAGUUUCGACUCGGACCGAAGACCUCUGAGCCGCUGAUAUGCACAAUUUAUGAAUUGAAUGGUGAAAUUAAAGUUAUGAUUUCUCAUUGUUUAUGUAAAAAGCACCGUUCCUUAAGGCAAGACACUGCAGGAAAAAGCGUGUUGUUUCAGACUAGAAAAAAAAUCUUCCAAAAUACACAUUUAACUGUUUAUUUUAUUGCACUUUAUAUAUAUACAUAUAAUCACACAAACAAACACAUGCUAAAUCUAGCUUGAAGGCAGAAAAUGUGCUCGUGAUGCAUGUUCACACCCAGCUUUCUUCUUCAAGCCAAUAAAUAUCAGUCCAGUGAGCGUCUCAGACACUUUCUGAUCUUCAGCUCAGACUCAUCGAGACUCUUUCAUUCACACAAACUCAAGAACAACUCAAAGGAUGAGAACGGAGGUUUUCCUCGUGCUCCUCAUGACUCUGGUGUCCACUGAUGGACUGAAUAAUGUCACGUUCAACCGAGAGAAACGGGAUCUUUUCUCUAACAGUGCAUAUCCCUGCCAGAGAUCUCAGAAUAACAACGCAUAUAAUACUUUUAAUCGCCGACAUAUUCUCUCAGAGGAUUUUGACAGGAACAGUGAAAGGGCUUGGGCAUUUUAUCUCAAUAGAAAGGGUCUUUGUGGCAGAACACCUGUUCAGUCCUUCCUCUCUAGAAGGUACAGCGAUAGAAUUAAAAGAAUCUGCAACGGAGAAGGCACCAGAGACACAGGAAACUUGUGCAUCAGUAUGAGAAGUUUCACAGUGUACAUUGUUGAAAGUUCUGUAAGAUACAGAGAGUGUGAAGUUCAUGUUCGUCGUGAGAACUCUUAUGUGAGUGUUGCUUGUGAGGUCAUUGAUAACGAAUGUGUGCCUGUUCACUAUGAGGAACAAACUAACAGGCGGCCGUCCCAACGUGGUCAGAUCUGCAGACCUUAAGCAGAGGAUGUACUAAGGAUACAUGUUUAACCAUUAAUUAAAACGUUGCUAUGCCACAUGCAUGUAUAAACUGGAUAUAAUUCCAGAAGCUUCUCAAUAAAAGCUUUCUUAGCACAGCGCAGUUUGGUUUUAUAAAACAAACUGAUGAGAUGUGUAGCUCAAAUGCAAUGUAAGUCACUUUAAAUAAAAGUAUCUGCCAAAGCCA